GUCUACGGCCAUACCACCCUGAACACACCCAAUCUUGUCUAAUCUCGGAAGCUAAGCAGGGUCGGGCCUGGUUAGUACUUGGAUGGGAGAAUUCUCUUCCCCUCCCUCUACCCCUCCCCCUGCUGGUGUGCUCG
ensembl:rRNA 5S_rRNA 5S ribosomal RNA